CUUUCUGGGAGUCCCUGUACCGAGACGAGUUACGAGUCUUCAGCUAUUCUUAUGCUAAAUGCCUGCUCCUCCUCCUCCUCCUCCUCCUCCUCUUAACAUCCGAGAACCCUUCAGAGUAUCGUGUAUGUACUUAAUGCACCGACAACCAAUCAGCUUGACGUGGGGAGGGAGUGGGAGGGCAUACCAUCCUAUUAAGUUUCUCGUUUGAUUAUUUGAAUUAGCCACGUCUUCAAACACUACGUCAGUACAUAAAUCAACUUCGACGAUUGGUAAUGCAUGUUUGUGUCUCAUUUUUGCUAUAAUGUUCCGUGUGUUGUUGAAAGACGAUGGAAAUGCAGUGCGCUUUCGACACAUAUUACAGCGAGUCACAAAGAGAAGAGAGAGAGGAAAACGAGUGAAACUGGACGAAAAGGUGAAAGAGUUGAGAAGAGGAGGAAGAGGACGACUGAACGACAAGGAAGCGAGACAGGAGCGCCGCGCAAGCUCCAAAUCACAAGUCGAGUGAAGCUUCGAGUGCAGUUCCAAAUGUCACUUGAGAGAACAUUAAACUACCUUAUCCAACACUCGAAUGCAAGAUAAACCAUGGAAACAAGUGCUGCUACAAAUACGACUUUUUAGAAUGCUGCCACCCCAUCACACAAUACCCAAUCCUAGCAACAAGGCGGAGAAGAAAAUAAAAAAGAAAAACACGACGCCAAUCUACUCGAGUCACUGCUUCACGCCUCCUGCAGUGCUGCCCGUGGCCUGUCAUCCUCCAGCCGCCGGCCAGACCACAUUCCUGCCCCGGCCACGUACAUGCUACACAUCAUUAUACACGUUAAAUCCCAACCCUGCGUCCCUUCCAAGCCGCCGCAACCGCUGACGCCAGGACGAGGAACGAGAGGAGACGAGGAGGAGCACGGACCAGUGAGUGAGCAAGGGGGAGGCGUGGGAGGCGGAGAGGAGGAGCUGCCGUCACCACGCCGCCCCUUCCCUAACACGGUGAUGGGCGGGAGAUGGAAAGUCCAGCACCACCCACACCCACACCCACACCCAGAGCACGGACCAUCCCAUGUGACCCUUGCAAUGACCCGUUCUUCCGUAAUACUAUCAACGCUGAGCCUUGCAUCACGUCUCUAUCGCCUCGCACACUAAGGACCUCUAGGAAAGGCCGCGGACUGAUUACUGAUGGAACAGGAAACAUUAAUACAUGACUCGCUGCUGCCUGGACCAAGAUCGUAACAUGUCCUCAUUCUGGAAGCUGUGUGUCCGCUCCGUCCUGCUCAGUCCGGCCGCUACAAUAUAGAAGCUGACGUUGAAAGUUACUGUCUUUACUGAUCUGACGCUGAACACUGACGUUUGCUGCCGAGGCACUGGAUGCAGCUACAGCAGUGGUGGAGGCUGCAGUGGUAGAAGUUGUAGAGGAAGUGAAGGAGGGAGAGGAUGAGGAGCCAGUGCGUUCCUUCAGGGAGGAUAUGGACGUAAGGGUCUUUUGGAACCAAGUGUUCUUGGUGGCCUGAAGCUCCCUCACAGCAGUGGCCAGCUGGUGUGUCAAGUCCUGAAGGUGCCCAUAUAUCGACCUGGGAAGGCGGUGGCUGAGGUUAAUGUCUCACCCGCCGCUACAAGCUGACAAUAUUCAGUCAUUGCCGAGUAGCCCAAAUGCUGUCCUGAUGACCACCGAUCAACCUGGACUAUAGCAAAACUCUCUCAAGAGGAUCAGAUUCCACAAGGGCCAGUUUGGUCUUGGCCAGCUCCAGCUCCAGCUCCCGCACCUGCUGCUGCAGCCGGGUGACUGCUGGGGACUCCUCCAGCCCCACCUCGGUUGGGGGUCCACACACGGGGGAGAGCAAGGCACUGC